CCCGAGGUGGGGUUCGACGCUGCUCAGCUCCACACCUUCAUCGACCAGUCCACGGUGCCGGCUGGGACGAUCGAUCUGGCGACAGUGCUCGCGACGGUGCUCGAGGAGCAGGACCGCGGACCG
rnacentral:sRNA from 1 species